rnacentral:misc_RNA from 1 species
GCAUGAAAGGUUUCAAAUGCCCAAGGGUGGAAAUACAUCGAGCGCAGUGAGGCCAAGUGCCAUCAUGGACCCUAUCCCUAACCCCUACUCCUGAGUCUUGUCAUUUCUCCUAUCGUGCUUCUUUGCCCCAGUGGAGUUUGUUGUCAAAUUUUCAUUUAAAAGGAAAAUUUAUUUUCUAUGACUACCAAUUUUUUUUUUUAAACCGAGGAUUUGUGAUUAAUUCAUAAUUGCAAGCACUUUAGCCUUAUAACUUGUCUAGUCAGCUGCCUUUUCUCUAGUACAGAAUAUAAGGGUUUCAAAUCCCCUCUCCCUUGAGUAAAAGACCUUACAAUUCUUUUAGCUAACAUAACG